UAUUUUCUUAAGGACAAUAUGUCACUGGCAUAUUAUAAUGUUGGAGCUGGAGAAACACUUGCCCUUUCUUUGAGAGAGUGUGGCGGUAGAAAGAGAUAGUGGGUUCCUUAACAGGGGUUUUUAUAAGGUAUUGUUUUGUAGGAAGCAUGGUAGCACCUGGAUGUGAUGAGUAGACGGUUAUUUUAGUUUGUGACAAGAAUCCAAACCUUCAUAUGAUUGAGCAGGUGUGCAGAUUGCAGUUUGUUUCUGCAGUUCCAGGAGUCUUGGGCAGUAUGUGCAGGGUGUUGUGUGCUGGAAUUGAAGUAGUGAUUGCAUGGU